AGUACCAAUACCACCAAUUUUGUAGACAUCUGGAGGGGCAGACGCAAGGGCUUGUCAGUUGGACGAGUAGGUGGCAGAAUGCAAUCCAGAGCUUCAAGCAGUGUGGUUCCACUCGGAAGAGCACACAUCUGACUUCAGCUCAAGUCAUGAUCUUGU